rnacentral:rRNA from 1 species
GAUCAUGGCUCAGGAUGAACGCUGGCGGCGUGCUUAACACAUGCAAGUCGAACGAAGCACUUGAGAUUGAUUCUUCGGAUGACGUCUUUUGUGACUUAGUGGCGGACGGGUGAGUAACGCGUGGGUAACCUGCCUCACACAGGGGGGAUAAACACGUUAGAAAUGACUGCUAAUACCGCAUAACCCGAUAGGAUCGCAUGACCCAGACGGAAAAGAUUUAUCGGUAGUGAGAUGGACCCGCGG